GGGAGCUCUCCCAUAUGGUCGACCUGCAGGCGGCCGCGAAUUCACUAGUGAUUCGUAUUACCGCGGCUGCUGGCACGUAGUUAGCCGGUGCUUAUUCUUCAGGUACCGUCAUUAGCCCACUGUAUUAGAACAGGCCGUUUCUUCCCUGACAAAAGAGCUUUACAACCCGAAGGCCUUCUUCACUCACGCGGCAUUGCUGGAUCAGGCUUGCGCCCAUUGUCCAAAAUUCCCCACUGCUGCCUCCCGUAGGAGUCUGGACCGUGUCUCAGUUCCAGUGUGGCUGGUCGUCCUCUCAGACCAGCUACUGAUCGAUGCCUUGGUAGGCCUUUACCCCACCAACUAGCUAAUCAGAUAUCGGCCGCUCCAGGAGCAUGAGGUCUUGCGAUCCCCCACUUUCAUCCUUAGAUCGUAUGCGGUAUUAGCGUAACUUUCGCUACGUUAUCCCCCACUCCAGGGUACGUUCCGAUAUAUUACUCACCCGUUCGCCACUCGCCGCCAGGUUGCCCCGCGCUGCCGUUCGACUUGCAUGUGUAAGGCAUGCCCCCAGCGUUCGAUCUGAGCCAUGAUCAAACUCUAAUCGAAUUCCCGCGGCCGCCAUGUCGCCCGGGAGCAUGCGACG
rnacentral:rRNA from 1 species